rnacentral:rRNA from 1 species
CACGUAGGGGGCAAGCGUUGUCCGGAAUUAUUGGGCGUAAAGAGCUCGUAGGCGGUUUGUCGCGUCUGCCGUGAAAGUCCGGGGCUCAACUCCGGAUCUGCGGUGGGUACGGGCAGACUAGAGUGCAGUAGGGGAGACUGGAAUUCCUGGUGUAGCGGUGAAAUGCGCAGAUAUCAGGAGGAACACCGGUGGCGAAGGCGGGUCUCUGGGCCGAUACUGACGCUGAGGAGCGAAAGCGUGGGGAGCGAACAGG